GAUGAAGAACGCAGUGAAAUGCGAUAAGUAAUGUGAAUUGCAGAAUUCAGUGAAUCAUCGAAUCUUUGAACGCACAUUGCGCCCGCCAGUAUUCUGGCGGGCAUGCCUGUUCGAGCGUCAUUUCAACCCUCAGGGCCCUUUUGGACCUGGCGUUGGGGCUCGGCCGCUACCCUGCGGCCGUCCCCGAAAGAUAGUGGCGGUCUCGCUGUAGCCUCCUCUGCGUAGUAGUUACAUCUCGCACUGGAACGCGGCGCGGCCAUGCCGUUAAACACCCCACUUCUCAAGGUUGACCUCGGAUCAGGUAGGAAUACCCGCUGAACUUAAGCAUAUCAAAAGCGGAGGA
rnacentral:misc_RNA from 1 species